rnacentral:rRNA from 1 species
AGAGUUUGAUCAUGGCUCAGAAUCAACGCUGGCGGCGCGCUUAACACAUGCAAGUCGCACGAGAAAGUGGGAAACCAUGAGUACAGUGGCGUACGGGUGAGUAACACGUGGGUAAUCUACCUCUGAGUGGGGAAUAACCCUGGGAAACCGGGGCUAAUACCGCAUAAUCUCGAGAGAGGAAAGCAGCAAUGCGCUGAGAGAGGAGCCCGCGGCCGAUUAGCUAGUUGGUAGGGUAAGAGCCUACCAAGGCAGAGAUCGGUAGCCGGCCUGAGAGGGCACACGGCCACACUGGCACUGAAACACGGGCCAGACUCCUACGGGAGGCAGCAGUGGGGAAUCUUGCACAAUGGGGGAAACCCUGAUGCAGCGACGCCGCGUGAGCGAUGAAGCCCUUCGGGGUGUAAAGCUCUUUCGUCAGGGAAGAUCAUGACGGUACCUGGAGAAGCAGCUGCGGCUAACUACGUGCCAGCAGCCGCGGUAAUACGUAGGCAGCGAGCGUUGUUCGGAGUUACUGGGCGUAAAGGGUGUGUAGGCGGUUCUUUAAGUUUGGUGUGAAAUCUCCCGGCUCAACCGGGAGGGUGCGCCGAAUACUGAGGGACUUGGAGUGCGGGAGAGGAAAGUGGAAUUCCUGGUGUAGCGGUGAAAUGCGUAGAUAUCAGGAGGAACACCGGUGGUGUAGACGGCUUUCUGGACCGUAACUGACGCUGAGACACGAAAGCGUGGGUAGCAAACAGGAUUAGAUACCCUGGUAGUCCACGCCCUAAACGAUGCAUAUUUGGUGUGGGUCAUUCAGUUGAUCCGUGCCGGAGCUAACGCGUUAAAUAUGCCGCCUGGGGAGUACAGUCGCAAGGCUGAAACUCAAAGGAAUUGACGGGGCCCGCACAAGCGGUGGAGCAUGUGGUUCAUUCGACGCACGCGAAGAACCUUACCUGGGCUCGAACGGCUGGUCAACGGAGGUGGAAACAUCUUUACCCCGCAAGGGGGUCA